rnacentral:tRNA from 1 species
GCACCCGUAGCUCAGCUGGAUAGAGCGCUGCCCUCCGGAGGCAGAGGUCAUAGGUUCGAAUCCUAUCGGGUGCACCA